ACCAAUCAGAUCCAUUAUUUGA
rnacentral:snRNA from 1 species